AGCAGCCGCGGUAAUUCCAGCUCCAAUAGCGUAUAUUAAAGUUGUUGCAGUUAAAAAGCUCGUAGUUGAAUUUUAGACUUGGCCGGGCGGUCCGUCUUUGGCGAGUACUGUUCUGUUGUCGGGUCUUCCUUCUGGUGAACCAGUAUGUCCUUAAUUGGGUGUGUUGGGGAGCCAGGACCAUUACCUUGAAAAAUUAGAGUGUUUAAAGCGGGCUAUUGCUUGAAUAGAUUAGCAUGGAAUAAUAGAAUAGGACGUUGUGGUUCUAUUUUGUUGGUUUCUAGGACCACCGUAAUGAUUAAUAGGGAUAGUUGGGGGCAUUAGUAUUCAAUUGUCAGAGGUGAAAUUCUUGGAUUUAUUGAAGACUAACUAUUGCGAAAGCAUUUGCCAAGGAUGUUUUCAUUAAUCAAGAACGAAAGUUAGGGGAUCGAAGACGAUCAGAUACCGUCGUAGUCUUAACCAUAAACUAUGCCGACUAGGAAUCGGGCGACGUUAUUUUCACGACUCGCUCGGCGCCUUAUGG
rnacentral:rRNA from 1 species